CAGUCGCCACGGGAAUACGUAGGGUGCGAGCGUUAAUCGGAAUUACUGGGCGUAAAGCGUGCGCAGGCGGUUGUGUAAGACAGGUGUGAAAUCCCCGGGCUUAACCUGGGAACUGCGCUUGUGACUGCACAGCUAGAGUAUGGCAGAGGGGGGUGGAAUUCCACGUGUAGCAGUGAAAUGCGUAGAGAUGUGGAGGAACACCGAUGGCGAAGGCAGCCCCCUGGGCCAAUACUGGCGCUGAGGCACGAAAGCGUGGGGAGCAAACAGGAUUAGAUACCCCCGUAGUCCCUGUCUCUUAUAC
rnacentral:rRNA from 1 species